UGGUACUUUUAGCCUUUGUUUCUUUUAUACCACAGUCCAUUCUCUGUCUCUCAUUCAGCUGCUUCUAUUCUAGUGACAAAUUAAAUAAACCACUCCAUUGCUAAAGAGGCUUGGACAGUCAGGGAGUCACUAGUCUGGCAGAGGGAAGUAGAAAGCAAACAUUUACUUGGUUCUGCCAGCAACUUUUUUAGUUUUAUAGCUUUAAGCCUAUAGAAAAACAAAUUUUUAAAAAAAAUAAAAAAUUGAAAAUAUGGGAAUGGAAAGGGGGGUGAAAUAUACCUUAUUAUUUCUCCAGCAGUGGAGGUGAGCCUGGAGCAGUGGGAUGAUGAAAGAGUCAUAACAGCUCGUCAGAGAGAAGGAGGCCGCUUUCAUCUUGGAUCAGGUGACAGGGAAGUCGUUUGCUGCCAGGAUACCAGCGCCAUAAGGAUAUAGGCUGCUGGUAACGCUUUGAUUGCUGGGUCUGUGGUUACUGUGCUCUUGACGGCUUCAGUGUUCUUUUUGCACUUGUGUGCUGUUUUAUCAGUGCAUGGAAAAAAUGUACAAGGCAGCUGGACAAACAGGAAGAAGAACAACAAUGGCACCCAAGGCUAUGAAAUAAACGGUGAUAAAGACAACAGCAGUGAAGAAAAACCAAACAGUGAAUUGGAAAAUAUCUUCAUUUCUGCUCCCCCUCAUGUCCCAACGUAUGCUCUGCAGAUUCUUUUGUAAAGAUACCUUCUUCAUCUUCUGGAUUACCUCUUGUUCAGAUACAGACUACAUUAAGGAUUAUAUGUAUUUUCAUUAAGGAGGUGAAUAGUUUAGUGUGCUCUCAGAAACACAAGAACCAAUCAGAAUAUUCCACUGGUAAGCAGAGCCUGGUAUUCGGGUGUGGGGUUCUCCAAUGGAAGUGGAUGCAGUAUUCUGUGGUGUUUUAUUUUCUUUUUGCUAUGAAUAACUGUACCAAAUUAUCAGAUGACCUGCAAAGUAAUUGGAAACGUUACCAGAUGCAAAUAAAUGGUGUUAUGCAUUUUAAGGACAUGUUCAAGGAACAUUGUGUUGGUUUCAAAAGGAAUCCCCAGCACUCCAGUGAGAAUCACUGCAUACAGAAUGAUAUGCUGUACAUUCUAAAGCACCUGGAUCAACCUGCUUUGUAGGCAUAAAUGCCAAUCUUGUUGUCAUACGUUGCUCUACAUGUGAAUGUGUACCAUAAAAUAGUCUAUCUAAUCAACUGCUGUACAUUACUUACUGAGGUAUUUAAAAAUAAUAAUAAUAAUAAAAAUAAUAAUAACAUUGUAAACCCAGAUUUUUUUUUGUUUUUAUGUUCUAGAUUUAAGCUAUCAACCUAGAACCUGCGCUAGGAUUACAUUUUAAUUAGCGGGUUGCUAUCCUUAUAGUGGAUUUUAAAAAGGAACAAAUUACUAUCAUGUAUGUGCAAUUUAAUCUUAUUUUCAUUGAAAAAGACUUAUCAAUGUAUGUUCUAAGGAAAUAAAAACUUUACAGAACUGUUGCCAAUUACAAUUUUAUUGUGAGCAUAUAAACAUCUUCAAACUGAUGGCUGUGUUUCCAGAUCUUCAUAACCAGAACCUGUUCUAUUAAUCCAUCGUUCAAUACAGACUAAUUAAAUACAAGGUCUCAAUUGCUGGAUUCAAUGAGAUGGAAUAUCUCUGCUCUUUUGCCUCUGCUGAUAAGAGUGGCCAUGGCCUGAACAGUAGCUUGGUUAUUAAUAAUACAUUGAAUAGUAUUUUCUGUUUUUAUAUACAAUGUGCUGUGCAGCAGGAUACCAUGGUGAAGGUCAAGAGCUGCUAAUUGGGUAGAGGCUGCUCUCUAUGGGUUUGAUGUUUCCUAAUCUUCUGCUUUAAGGGAAGGCUAAAGAAAAACAAAAAGCCUUUGAAAGGUGUGGGGUUCUAGGGUCACCCCAAUGAAAUAUCAAAGAAGCCUAAAUUGUAGAUGCUUGAGAUUUCAAUACCUCAAUGUUUCUUGUAUUGUCUCUAGUAUCAUAACAUACAUCAAACAACAAUAUUUACUAACAGGAGAUUCUUUAAAUUUGAAGUCUGUCACCUUUUUGCUAAAUUGACACUGUGUACUUGGUGUUUUGGUUUGUGCUUGCAUUGUCCUACAUUGUUACAUUAACAGUUUUUCUGCUCUUGCUUUGCACACACACUGCACACCAGUUACACUAACAGCAUUGUAUCUCUUUAUACUGGAUAAUUAUUUUCAGUUUAAUACUUUGUUCGUGAUAUCCACCAUCUUGGUGACUGACUUUUUAUGAUUUUAGACACAGCUUAGUAUGCAUCAAGUUGAUUUACUAAAGCAAAAUUCUGAAAUUGGACAGAUCUGGACAGUAAAAUUAUCAUAAAAUCAUUGCAAAUACCUCGUUUGCCAAUAUAAAUAUGGUACAGAAUGUAAACACAACACAUCACAUCUGUGAAAUGCAAGCAUCCAACACCGGUAUCUCAUUCAGUUAAAUGUAUUGGGUUUUAAAAAAAAAAAAAAGCUAAAAUGUCUGCAAGUAUUUGCUUGCUAAAUA